ensembl:snRNA U6 U6 spliceosomal RNA
UUCUUCAACACCACAUAUUGUCUAAAACUGAAACAAUACAGAGAAGAUUACAUGGCCCUAUAUGAAGAUACCUGAAUUCAUGAAGCAAGUCAUUUUUUU